UACGGAGGAUGCAAGCGUUAUCCGGAUUUACUGGGUGUAAAGGGAGCGUAGACGGCUUGGCAAGUCUGAAGUGAAAGCUCGGGGCUCAACCCCGGAACUGCUUUGGAAACUGUCAUGCUAGAGUGCAGGAGAGGUAAGCGGAAUUCCUAGUGUAGCGGUGAAAUGUGUAGAUAUUAGGAGGAACACCAGAGGCGAAGGCGGCUUACUGGACUGUAACUGACGUUGAGGCUCGAAGGCGUGGGGAGCAAAC
rnacentral:rRNA from 1 species